rnacentral:rRNA from 1 species
UCGGGAAUUUUGGGCAAUGGGGGAAACCCUGACCCAGCAACGCCGCGUGAAGGAUGAAGUAUUUCGGUAUGUAAACUUCGAAAGAAUAGGAAGAAUAAAUGACGGUACUAUUUAUAAGGUCCGGCUAACUACGUGCCAGCAGCCGCGGUAAUACGUAGGGACCAAGCGUUGUUCGGAUUUACUGGGCGUAAAGCGUGCGCAGGCGGCUUUGCAAGACAGAUGUGAAAUCCCCGGGCUCAACCUGGGAACUGCAUUUGUGACUGCAAGGCUAGAGUACGGUAGAGGGGGAUGGAAUUCCGCGUGUAGCAGUGAAAUGCGUAGAUAUGCGGAGGAACACCGAUGGCGAAGGCAAUCCCCUGGACCUGUACUGACGCUCAUGCACGAAAGCGUGGGGAGCAAACAGGAUUAGAUACCCAAGUAGUCCCUGAGCGGGCUGGCAAGGCGCAU